AGUGGCGGACGGGUGAGUAACACGUAAGAAUUUGCCUUUAGGAGGGGGAUAACAGUUGGAAACGACUGCUAAUACCCCAUAUGCUUUAGAGUGAAAUGGAUGUAUUUCCGCCUAAAGAGAAGCUUGCGGCUGAUUAGCUUGUUGGUGAGGUAAUGGCUCACCAAGGCGACGAUCAGUAUCUGGUUUGAGAGGAUGAUCAGACACACUGGAACUGAGACACGGUCCAGACUCCUACGGGAGGCAGCAGUGGGGAAUUUUCCGCAAUGGGCGAAAGCCUGACGGAGCAAUACCGCGUGAGGGAUGACGGCCUAUGGGUUGUAAACCUCUUUUUUCAGGGAGGAAUCAAUGACGUGUACCUGAAGAAUAAGCAUCGGCUAACUCCGUGCCAGCAGCCGCGGUAAGACGGAGGAUGCAAGUGUUAUCCGGAAUCACUGGGCGUAAAGCGUCUGUAGGUGGUCAAAUAAGUCAACUGUUAAAUCUUGAAGCUCAACUUCAAAAUCGCAGUCGAAACUAGUAGACUAGAGUAUAGUAGGGGUAAAGGGAAUUUCCAGUGGAGCGGUGAAAUGCGUAGAUAUUGGAAAGAACACCGAUGGCGAAGGCACUUUACUGGGCUAUUACUAACACUCAGAGACGAAAGCUAGGGUAGCAAAUGGGAUUAGAUACCCCAGUAGUCCUAGCUGUAAACAAUGGAUACUAGAUG
rnacentral:rRNA from 1 species